CUUACACACACACUCUCGCUCUCUCAUUCUCCUUUCCCUGCUCUCCAUCUCCCUAUUGCAUUGUGUCUGACUGAUUUUCAGAGCACCUUCGCUGUUUCCCUCUUCUCAUUCCCUUUCUGUAAAAUAUGUAGACAGGAAGGAGGUGGCUGCAGAAGCUGAACAAACAAUCUGAUAUUCUGCCUGCAAUGUCAUCGUUUCUUUCCCCCAUUUUAGGGGGCUGAAGUUGCCCAGGAAGGGGAUGCAGAGGAGCUGAAAGGAAGGAGGGAGCUCUCCAGAGGCAGCUGCGGUCAGGGGCAGGGACUGCCGCCAGAUGUGCCUGCCUCUCUGGGCUUUGAUGCGAAAGGGGCAGCAGGAGGAAAUAUUGGGAGACAAAAGCCCUGGUUUAAAUGAUCAUUUUCUUUAUUUAACAUGGCAGCAGACACUCUCUGCGUAGGAUCAUCAUGCCGAACAUAAACUGGACUUUCCCACUUGCCUGGCAGGAGUGAGACAGAUCACUGUGUGCAAAAUGAGCAUUUGAGAGAAAAUUUGGAAUUCAUUAAUAUAAAAAGAAAUAGGAAGGUAAGCACUUCAAUAUGUCAUCUGUGGAAGUAAUUUAUUAUGACAUUGUCUUCCAUUUCCUAUUAAGAAAUAUAUAAAGAUUAAUUUUAACAAAUUUUAACUUUUGGCCAAGGCAUUUUAAUGAACAAUACUUCAAUCUUACUAUUUCAGAUAAGAGCAAAAUAUCUGGUUCUUGAAGGGGAAAGGAACUAACACUUUUAAAAUAUCCACUCUUUGUUAGGUUGGGUGAUCAGAAAUUCCAAUAUGCACAGAACAGUUUGGUUUACACUUGUUAUGGCCUAAUUACUAAUACUUCUUCUUUUCACUCUCAACUUGCAUGAAAUAUAGGAAUUGGACAUGUGUUUUCUAUCUCUCUUGUGUAAACAUCCUCUAAUCAAAUUAACUCACCAGAAAAUUUGUGUUUCUGGUUUGUAUUUGCCAUUAAUUAUAAUUGUGUGAUUUAGGUCAAAUUAUUUACCUCUCUGUAAAUAAAUUUUCUCAUUAGCAAAAUAGGGACAAUAUACCUUUCCCAUACAAUAAUAAUGACAACAGAACUUUUAUGGCUAGUUCUUUUAGAGCAUAGCCAGAGAGGCCUAUUAUCAGACCAAGAAAUUAUUAUUUUAAGGGGGUAUCAAACAUUGUAAGAUGCUUAAUGGCUGGGCUUACACAAGACUUUGGUUCAAAUCCUGGCUCAAAGCUUAACCAAAUAUGAAUUCUUGGAGAAUUAUGUCUGGACUGUGGAGGUGUAUGUGUGUGUUCAUUUUUCUUAAACCUCUGAGAAUAAAAGGAAAAGAGCUAAUAUUUCUUACUCUUUGGUACAGAUUUGGUAAAUGAUAAGUAAUUAAUAAAUGUUAGUUUUUUCUUCUCAUUGCUUUACAAAAAUAAUUGAACAAAUAAGCUUAGAGUCUUAUGAAUAUGCCUUACCACUGUUAUGUAACACUGAUAAUAAUGUGUUCCAUCUGAUUUUACCUACUCAAAUUACUGUGUUUAUAUCUCCUUGUUCAUUAUGUUUAAGCAAGUAUAAAGGAUUCACAUCUUGUCUCAGUGAAAAGAAUUGAGUAUAGCUAGGAAAGAUAUUGGGCUUCCCUGGUGGCUUAGAGGUUAAAAGCAUCUGGCUGCAAUGUGGGAGACCUGGGAAAGAUAUUAGCCACUUGAGCCAAAAUGGAUGUGGUUUUGGUAGACUUAAAUUCUAGAGGAAAGGAUGAGUGCAGAAGUCAAUACAACUGUCCAGAAAUUAGGGGUAAAAAAGCUAGGCAGAAGACCAAGCUAAGAUGGGAUAGGUUGGGGUAGAAUAUGAAUUGGGAUCUAGCUGUAUCUAUUUUGGCUUUAACUAGGUCUGAUUUUGAGUAAAUAUCAAUCUUCUGUUGGAUGUAGGCAAAAAUGGAGCUGUAGGAGAAAGGGUUGAGAGGAAUGGUAAGCAGAGUUAAGGUAAUUUCCGUGUGGGCUUCAACUUAGAUGCUUUGGAUAAGCCCAAGACUUUGGUUGAAAUCAUUGGCAAAUCUGCCUUGUUAUGAGCUAGGAAGGAAAGAUGUGGGUGAAAUAAAUCAAGAGCUGAUGUCCUAGUUGGUUUCCUUUUGUCAAAUUCAUUUAGUAGUUUUUCCACACUAAGUACCAAUUUUGUACCUGGGCACAAGUGAGUAGAUAAUCUCAGAAUCGUAUUUUAUUAGAGGACUAGAGCUCUCUAGUUUCCUCCAGACUCUAACAAAAAGUAUUGAGUGGUUAAGAAUUAUUAAAACAUAUUUUCCAUUAAAACAUUAAAACAUGUAUACUUAUUUUCCCCUUAAAAUUCUACUACUAAAGGACAUGCUUAUAAAUGUAUCCAGAAUGACUGUUUAUUCUAUGUUAAAUUUUUUCUUCUUUUUGUUACUGAGUCAGAAGGAUAAAUCUCUCAAACCCACAAUCUAUUGUGACUACAUCUAUAAAACUAACAGUGGAUGUACAUUUUCAAAAUUGAAAGUCAUUAUAAAACAAUGUAGGGCCUCUCUAAAUCAUAGCUAAGAACAGUCAUAAUGGAAAUCUUUUAUCUAUGUCUGAUUCACUAACAUGUCAUUAUUCUGAGAACUAAUAACUUUUUCUUGGAGAUAGGGCCCCAAAUUCAAUUUUAUAGCUCACAGUCCCAGUAAAUAGAAAAAUUCUGCCAAACCUGCCUUUAUAAAUUCUAGUGAUUUCAUGUUUUUACCAUAUGUAUUGAACUAGAAAAAAGGGAAGUGAGGUUUGAUGGGUUUUUACUUGGCCAAUAAGCUCUACUAUAUCUAUAUGAAAAAUUUUAAAUUAAUAUUUUCAUAUUAUCUCAGGGAUAUAUAACUAGCAUUAAUUAUUUCAGUAAAAUCCAAAGUACUUGGGAGAAAUAUUUGCUCCUGUCUUAAAUCAUAAUUCAGCCUCAACUAUUUGAAUAAGCCAUCACUCCUCAUUUUCUACUCAUGGAGCAGCUGGGCUGCAAUAAUCAACUUCCACCAUUGUGUUGUUAGAAGGGAGUACACUGCUCAGUUCCUAGCAGUGGAUCUCUCUGAUGCUUCUUAGUUCCACAGAAGGAAUUUUCUAAAUGAGUUACAGUGCACUGAGAAAAGGAAAACAAAAGAUGAUUCGCUUCUUUCAAACUGAGAAAUUAUCUUCUCACGAAGAGGUUCAGAUUUUAAAGUUAAUAUUAACUCCUAAUGUUAUUUAGUAAUGUUUGCCAAGAGUUAUUUCAUUUUCGUUUAAACAACUUUUAUUUUUAUUGAAUUUAUUAAUGUUAUUUAAAAACUAAUUAGUACAUUUAAUUAAUCAGAUUUUUAGUUGCUCACGAAAGAAUCCCACUGGCUAAUUUAAAGCUGAAAAAGAAUUUGUUAAAAGGAUAUUAUCCAAUUAUUUGUUAUUCAGUCACUCAGUUGUGUCCGACUCCUUGCAUGAACUGCAGCACACUAAGCUUCCCUGUCCUUCAGUAUCUCCCAGAGUUUGCUCAAACUCAUAUCCAGAGUCAAUGAUGUCAUCCAACUAUCUUAUGCUCUGUCACCCCCUUCUCUUUCUGCCCUCAAUCUUUCCCAGCAUUUAUAGGAUAUUAAAAGAAAUCUCUUAAAAAAAACUAGAGAUUCAAGCUUGUAAUUUAUACUUAUAGGAACAAAUACCAAAGUUAUUUUGCAGAACAAAUGAUCUUUUGGAUAGACAUAUGGAACCUUGCACCCUUGGCAAUACUCUCUCUGGACCUUGGGUUCUGUUUUUAGAAUCACUGCCUCUGGAAUCUGGAUAUAGUUGCUGCUGCUACUGUGCCUAUCUUCACUAGAACUGAUUCUACAUGUUCACUGUGGUAGGCUAGUGCUCUGCUGCAUGACUUUGCUGAACAUCUUACCAUACUGGAGACUAACACAGAGAUUUAAAUAGUGAAAAUUCUAGAACAAUGUAGUGGGUUGUCUAGUAGGGUUGUGACCUAUUCACUGAAAACAUUUAAGUAGUGACAUGAUGAGCACUUAGGAUUAUUUUAAGGGGAAUUUCUUCUUUCCAUAGGUUUUUGAACUAGAUCUUGUAAAUCAUAGUUUAAAUUUGGGGAAAUUUUUUAGAUUAUCCUGCUUGUCAUUUUCCUUACUUUCUUUUUCCUCUAUUGAUCUGCAAGGACAUCUGCUAGAAUAGCUGUCUGCAAUUGUCUUUUUUUAGAUGCUAUUACAGGUAGAAAAUAGGUUAGUGCAUAAGAAGUUUCAUUCUAUCCAUUUUACACUGCAAACAAUGACGAUUUCUCACUUAAUAAACCCAGAAAUAAAGAUAGAGAAACUAUUAUUAAUGUUAUGGAGUACCCAUUUAAUAUGUUAGAUUUUACAUAAGCAUUUACAUUGGUUCUUUAUGAACUCCAAUUCAAAUGACAGAUUAAUUAAUAUAUAGACACAUUUGGACAAAAAGAAUGGGAGAAAUAAAGUACAUGAGAAAUAUUCCCAAUAUUGGAAGAUAGAAAGCAGAUGUAAAAGUGUUACCUAUUUAUUUAACUCAGUAGCAAAAAACCGAACAAUCCAAUUGAAAAAUGGGCAAAAGGAGCUUAAGAGACAUUUCUCCAAAGAAGACAUACAAAUGGGCAACAGAUACAAAAAAGUGCUUGAUGUCAUUAAUAAUCAGAGAAAUGCAAAUCAAAACCACAAUAAUAUGUUACCUCAGACCUAGGAGAAUGGCUACUGUCAAAAAGACAAGCAACAAGUGUUGGUGAGGUAGUGGAGAAAAGGGAACUCUUGGUCAUUGUUGGUGGGAAUGUAAAUUGGUGCAUCCACUAUGCAAAACAGUAUAGAGGUUCCUUAAAUAUUAAAAAGAGAACUAAUGUAUGAUCCAGCAAUUCCAUUUCUGGGUAUGUAUCCAAAGGAAAUGAAAAAGGUCUUCAGGAGAUAUCUCCACCCCCAUGUUCAUUGCAGCACUACCUUAAUACCCAAGGCAUGAAAACAACCUGAAUAUCCAUCAAUAAAUAAAUGGAUAAAAAGAACAAGGUAUAAUAUAUAUCAGUGGAAUAUUUUUCAGCCAUUAAAGAAGGAAAUCCUGCCAUUUGUGACAAUGUGGAUGGACCUUGAGGGUGUUACGCUUAGUGAAAUUAGUUAGGUAGAGAAGGACAGACACUGUAUGGUCUCACUUCUAUGUGGAAUCCAGGAAAUCUGAACUCAGAGAAGUAAAGAGAAGAAUGAUGGUUUCCAGGGGCUGGGCAGUGGGAUGUUGGUCAAAGUGUACCAACUCCCAGCUAUAACAUGAGUAAGUUCCAUGGAUUAAUGUAUGGAAUUAUAGCAUGGUGUCUAUAAUUAAUAAUACUAUAUUAUAUACUUGAAAGUUGUUAAGAAAAUAGAUUUUAAAUGUUAUCACUACAGACACACACACACAGACUAUAAAAAUGAGUGGAUGAAGGUGUUAAGUAACUGUAGUAAUCAUUGUGCAAUAUCAAAUAAUCACAUUGUACACUUCAAAUUUAAACAUGUUGUAUGUCAACAGUACCUCAAUAAAGCUGAAGAAAAAGGGGUACAUAACUUAGACACAGCAAGAGAAAUAAGAUGAUUGGUUUUAUAGUUUCAUAGAAAAUUUUAGUGGUUGUAGGCACCAGAUGAUUCUGAAGUCUGUAAUGUGGUAUGGGAGCCAAAACGUAAGGGAUUAUUUUUAUAUAGUAUAUGGAAUAUUUGAGAUCCAAGGAAAAUGGAAACAAAUGACACAAAUUAUGAAAAGGAAAAUUUCUAUUUUAAUGUUAGGCUCAGAGAAUGAGAAAGACCAUAAGGAAUAAGGAGAAAAAGAAUCAUAUCUUGCUAAUACUUCAGUGAUCCUUUAUGAAGAAAAGUCAGCUCAAGUUUCAGAAGAUGAAAUAUUUCUCUUUAAAUUUAUAUAUGCUGCCCAGAAGUCUUUAUGUUACCAGAAAUUAACAAAAAUGGGGGUUCUAGAUAUUUUAGCAAAACCUUUGAAAUUCUGUUGUCUCUGCUGAAAAUUAGAUAGCAUUUGUAUAUUCAUUCAUGGUUAUUCAUCCAAAAUUAUGUAUUUUCCCAUGAUAUAAUCAGAGGCUGCUAGUACAGUAGCAAACAAAUAGGCACAGUCCCUAUGUUCAUGGAAUUCACAAUUUUGAAAACAAAGACUAAAUUUGGUCUUAUAGCAAGUGUUUAUUACUCAGAGGAAAAAAGAAUAUGCCUAGUAAUAUGACAGGUAUUUUACAUUUAAUUUCUUAGUUCCAUGAGGCUUUAUUUUUCAUCUGUAUUAAUAAUAUAUAUUGUUUUGGGUUGGUGUAAAGACUAAAUAUGACAAUGGAUAGCCUUAGUUUAGUGCCAGCCAAUAAAUAAUCAUUCAAAAGCAGUUAUACAUGUGUAUACGGAUUCAUUUUGAUAUUUGGCAAAACCAAUACAAUAUUGUAAAGUUU
rnacentral:lncRNA from 1 species